rnacentral:rRNA from 1 species
UACGUAGGGGGCAAGCGUUGUCCGGAUUUAUUGGGCGUAAAGAGCGUGUAGGCGGCCAGGUAGGUCUGCUGUGAAAACUCGAGGCUCAACCUCGAGACGUCGGCGGAAACCAUCUGGCUAGAGUCCGGAAGAGGAGAGUGGAAUUCCUGGUGUAGCGGUGAAAUGCGCAGAUAUCAGGAGGAAUACCGGUGGCGAAGGCGGCAUCCUGGACCGAGAUUGACACUGAUGAGCGAAAGCUAGGGGAGCAAACGGG